rnacentral:rRNA from 1 species
CGCUCUUUGUAACUUUUAGAUAGAGAGUCGUGCCUGCCCAGUGAAUUUUCAACGGCCGCAGUACCCUGACUGUGCUAAGGUAGCAUAAUCACUUGUUUUUUAAUUGAAAGCUUGUAUGAAUGGCUUGACGUAGGUAAAGCUGUCUCUUUUAUAUUAUCUAAAAAUUAAUUUUUAAGUGCAGAAGCUUAAAUAUAACCAAAAGACGAAAAGACCCUAUCGAGCUUAAAAAUUAUAAUUAAAUUAAAUUUAUAGCAAAAUGAUUUUUAAUUAAUUUUUUUUGUUGGGGCGACAAAAGAACAAAUAAAGCUUCUUUUUAUUAAAGAAAUUAAUAAAUUUUUUGAUCCAUAGUUUAUGAUUAAAAGAAAAAGCUACCGUAGGGAUAACAGCGUUAUUUUUUUAGAGAGUUCUUAUCGAAGAAAAAGUUUGCGACCUCGAUGUUGGAUUAAAGUAACUUUUAAGUGCAGAAGCUUAAAAAGUGGGUCUGUUCGACCCUUAAACCUUU